GGAGAGAGAUAAGUAGGACAGUGAGAGAGAGAGAAUGAGAGAACGAGCCACGAUUCUGAUAAGAGAGAGGGAGAGAGAGUUUUAGAGGGAGAGAGAAAGCUUAAGUAGUUUGUUCUGGGGAGGGAAAGAGAAAGAAGGAGAAUGAGAGGGGUUCGUGCCGAUGAGAGAGAGAGAUAGAGAAUGAGAGAUAUUUGCACCGACGAGAUAGAGAGAGAAAGAGAAUGAGAGGAGUUUGUGUCAGCAAGAGAGAGAUGAAGAUAGAGAGAAUAAGAGGUGUUUAUACCAGCGAGAG
rnacentral:lncRNA from 1 species